rnacentral:rRNA from 2 species
GGGUUGUGAGGUUAAGCGACUAAGCGUACACGGUGGAUGCCCUGGCAGUCAGAGGCGAUGAAGGACGUGCUAAUCUGCGAAAAGCGCCGGCGAGGUGAUAUGAACCUUUGACCCGGCGAUGUCCGAAUGGGGAAACCCAGUGCAAUUCGUUGCACUAUCGUUAACUGAAUACAUAGGUUAACGAGGCGAACCGGGGGAACUGAAACAUCUAAGUACCCCGAGGAAAAGAAAUCAACCGAGAUUCCCCCAGUAGCGGCGAGCGAACGGGGAGCAGCCCAGAGUCUGAAUCAGCUUGUGUGUUAGUGGAAGCGUCUGGAAAGUCGCACGGUACAGGGUGACAGUCCCGUACACGAAAGCACACAGGCUGUGAACUCGAAGAGUAGGGCGGGACACGUGGUAUCCUGUCUGAAUAUGGGGGGACCAUCCUCCAAGGCUAAAUACUCCUGACUGACCGAUAGUGAACCAGUACCGUGAGGGAAAGGCGAAAAGAACCCCGGCGAGGGGAGUGAAAAAGAACCUGAAACCGUGUACGUACAAGCAGUGGGAGCACCUUCGUGGUGUGACUGCGUACCUUUUGUAUAAUGGGUCAGCGACUUAUAUUCUGUAGCAAGGUUAACCGUAUAGGGGAGCCGAAGGGAAACCGAGUCUUAACUGGGCGUUAAGUUGCAGGGUAUAGACCCGAAACCCGGUGAUCUAGCCAUGGGCAGGUUGAAGGUUGGGUAACACUAACUGGAGGACCGAACCGACUAAUGUUGAAAAAUUAGCGGAUGACUUGUGGCUGGGGGUGAAAGGCCAAUCAAACCGGGAGAUAGCUGGUUCUCCCCGAAAGCUAUUUAGGUAGCGCCUCGUGAACUCAUCUUCGGGGGUAGAGCACUGUUUCGGCUAGGGGGCCAUCCCGGCUUACCAACCCGAUGCAAACUACGAAUACCGAAGAAUGUUAUCACGGGAGACACACGGCGGGUGCUAACGUCCGUCGUGAAGAGGGAAACAACCCAGACCGCCAGCUAAGGUCCCAAAGUCAUGGUUAAGUGGGAAACGAUGUGGGAAGGCACAGACAGCCAGGAUGUUGGCUUAGAAGCAGCCAUCAUUUAAAGAAAGCGUAAUAGCUCACUGGUCGAGUCGGCCUGCGCGGAAGAUGUAACGGGGCUAAACCAUGCACCGAAGCUGCGGCAGCGACACUAUGUGUUGUUGGGUAGGGGAGCGUUCUGUAAGCCGUUGAAGGUGUGCUGUGAGGCAUGCUGGAGGUAUCAGAAGUGCGAAUGCUGACAUAAGUAACGAUAAAGCGGGUGAAAAGCCCGCUCGCCGGAAGACCAAGGGUUCCUGUCCAACGUUAAUCGGGGCAGGGUGAGUCGACCCCUAAGGCGAGGCCGAAAGGCGUAGUCGAUGGGAAACAGGUUAAUAUUCCUGUACUUGGUGUUACUGCGAAGGGGGGACGGAGAAGGCUAUGUUAGCCGGGCGACGGUUGUCCCGGUUUAAGCAUGUAGGCGGAGGUUCCAGGUAAAUCCGGUACCUUUUAACGCUGAGGUGUGAUGACGAGGCACUACGGUGCUGAAGUAACAAAUGCCCUGCUUCCAGGAAAAGCCUCUAAGCAUCAGGUAACAUCAAAUCGUACCCCAAACCGACACAGGUGGUCAGGUAGAGAAUACCAAGGCGCUUGAGAGAACUCGGGUGAAGGAACUAGGCAAAAUGGUGCCGUAACUUCGGGAGAAGGCACGCUGAUAUGUAGGUGAAGCCCCUGCGGGUGGAGCUGAAAUCAGUCGAAGAUACCAGCUGGCUGCAACUGUUUAUUAAAAACACAGCACUGUGCAAACACGAAAGUGGACGUAUACGGUGUGACGCCUGCCCGGUGCCGGAAGGUUAAUUGAUGGGGUUAGCGGCAACGCGAAGCUCUUGAUCGAAGCCCCGGUAAACGGCGGCCGUAACUAUAACGGUCCUAAGGUAGCGAAAUUCCUUGUCGGGUAAGUUCCGACCUGCACGAAUGGCGUAAUGAUGGCCAGGCUGUCUCCACCCGAGACUCAGUGAAAUUGAACUCGCUGUGAAGAUGCAGUGUACCCGCGGCAAGACGGAAAGACCCCGUGAACCUUUACUAUAGCUUGACACUGAACACUGGUCCUUGAUGUGUAGGAUAGGUGGGAGGCUUUGAAGCGUGGACGCCAGUCUGCGUGGAGCCAUCCUUGAAAUACCACCCUUUAAUGGCUGGUGUUCUAACGUAGACCCGUAAUCCGGGUUGCGGACAGUGUCUGGUGGGUAGUUUGACUGGGGCGGUCUCCUCCCAAAGAGUAACGGAGGAGCACGAAGGUUAGCUAAUCCUGGUCGGACAUCAGGAGGUUAGUGCAAUGGCAUAAGCUAGCUUGACUGCGAGAGUGACGGCUCGAGCAGGUGCGAAAGCAGGUCAUAGUGAUCCGGUGGUUCUGAAUGGAAGGGCCAUCGCUCAACGGAUAAAAGGUACUCCGGGGAUAACAGGCUGAUACCGCCCAAGAGUUCAUAUCGACGGCGGUGUUUGGCACCUCGAUGUCGGCUCAUCACAUCCUGGGGCUGAAGUAGGUCCCAAGGGUAUGGCUGUUCGCCAUUUAAAGUGGUACGCGAGCUGGGUUUAGAACGUCGUGAGACAGUUCGGUCCCUAUCUGCCGUGGGCGCUGGAGAAUUGAGGGGGGCUGCUCCUAGUACGAGAGGACCGGAGUGGACGCAUCACUGGUGUUCGGGUUGUCAUGCCAAUGGCACUGCCCGGUAGCUAAAUGCGGAAAAGAUAAGUGCUGAAAGCAUCUAAGCACGAAACUUGCCCC